rnacentral:tRNA from 1 species
GCGGGUAUGGCCAAGUGGUUAAGGCAGUGGGUUGUGGUUCCACUAUUCGCGGGUUCGAUUCCCGUUACUCGCC